rnacentral:miRNA from 1 species
CAAAAUUCAAUAUUGAUACCAAAGUACCAAAAAACUUGAUCAUAUAUUUUUUAAUAAUAAUUAUUAUUAUUAUCAUUUAGUGUUUUU